UUUUAUUUGAGAGUUUGAUCCUGGCUCAGGAUGAACGCUGGCGGCGUGCCUAACACAUGCAAGUUGAGCGAUUUACUUCGGUAAAGAGCGGCGGACGGGUGAGUAACGCGUGGGUAACCUACCCUGUACACACGGAUAACAUACCGAAAGGUAUGCUAAUACGGGAUAAUAUAUUUGAGAGGCAUCUCUUAAAUAUCAAAGGUGAGCCAGUACAGGAUGGACCCGCGUCUGAUUAGUUAGUUGGUAAGGUAACGGCUUACCAAGGCGACGAUCAGUAGCCGACCUGAGAGGGUGAUCGGCCACAUUGGAACUGAGACACGGUCCAAACUCCUACGGGAGGCAGCAGUGGGGAAUAUUGCACAAUGGGCGAAAGCCUGAUGCAGCAACGCCGCGUGAGUGAUGAAGGCCUUCGGGUCGUAAAACUCUGUCCUCAAGGAAGAUAAUGACGGUACUUGAGGAGGAAGCCCCGGCUAACUACGUGCCAGCAGCCGCGGUAAUACGUAGGGGGCUAGCGUUAUCCGGAUUUACUGGGCGUAAAGGGUGCGUAGGCGGUCUUUCAAGUCAGGAGUGAAAGGCUACGGCUCAACCGUAGUAAGCUCUUGAAACUGGGAGACUUGAGUGCAGGAGAGGAGAGUGGAAUUCCUAGUGUAGCGGUGAAAUGCGUAGAUAUUAGGAGGAACACCAGUUGCGAAGGCGGCUCUCUGGACUGUAACUGACGCUGAGGCACGAAAGCGUGGGGAGCAAACAGGAUUAGAUACCCUGGUAGUCCACGCUGUAAACGAUGAGUACUAGGUGUCGGGGGUUACCCCC
rnacentral:rRNA from 1 species